UAACAUUUUAUCACAUGACACAUCAUUUCCACAUGAUAACUCGCUAUAUUUAAUAUGUUUAAUGUUUCCAUAUUUUGAAAAAUAAAUCGAAUGAUAAGGAGAACAACCAUAAUAUAGGAGUUAGACAAACAACUUGCCAAGUAUAUAGGAGUUUUACCCAGUAGAUAUCUCAUUACAAAAUACUUUUAAAGAUCAGAUAUGGAUAUGGCUUGACUCAAUAUAUGUGCGAUAGAUUAUAA